GUUGUUUUGCGGUUUGAAUUUAGAGUGAUUGAGUGUUGUAAUGUCUUGUACAGGAAAAUUAUGAAGAAAAAUCAAAAGGUAGUCCCCAAUGAAAGUCGUCGUCAGUCUCUUAGAGUCAGGAAACCGGACUCGGCUGCAAAAAAACCAGAACCGAGAGUUCAGAAGAGCAAGAAAAGCAGUAAGAAGAGUAAGAAGAGUAGGCCAGUGAGAGAGCCAGCGAGAGCACCGAGUGUAGAAUCGCUCUCAGUCUCAGAUGAGUCCGAAAGAGAGGGGUCCGAUAGUGAGGGGUCUGAAAGAGAGGAAAUGCAACCGAAUCAACCCCUUGAGUUCUACUUCAAAAGCAGCGAGUUCCCCCAUAGUUCGAAGAUACAAACUAAGUGCUUCGUGACCAGGACAGUAAAGCUCAUCAGGGAUAAGCCUGAGGCUGCGUGGUUCACAAGCCAUCCUCAGUUUCGACAUUUCUUCCACAUGCCAGACGAAGAUAACCUGAAGCUUCAGGGGAUGUGGAUGUUACUACUGCGCACCAUUUGUACUCCAGAAGAUGAUGUUGCAUGGUUUGCGGUUAAUGGUGUACCCAUCCGCUAUUCUAUGAGGGAGCAUGCCCUCAUCUCUGGGUUAGACUGCGGUGAUUAUCCACCAAACUAUGAGAAGUUGGGAGGUUAUAAGUUUGUGGAUUAUUACUUCCAUGACAGAAAGAAGAUCACCAUCACUGAUGUGAAGCAGAAGAUGUUGUCUAUGCCGCCGUGUCCAGAUAGAUUGAAGAUGACAGUCUUGUUUUUUCUUGGUCGGGUUAUCAGAGGAAAGCCGAAGGAUGCUGGAAAUUUAGACGACUUCAUAUUAAGGAUGAUGGACGAUUUAGAUGCUUGCAGAUCAUUUCCCUGGGGUCGUCUAACGUUUGAGGAUGCAAUAAAGGAGAUUAAGCACGUGAUGAACCAUCUGAAGGGUGAAGUGAAAGAGGCAUGCGCCUUUCCUGGUUUCAUCAUCCCUUUAGAGGUUCUGGCUUUUGAGUGUAUUCCGGAUCUGGGGAAGACGUUUAGAAUCUAUUCAGAGGACGCCAGUGAAGAAUGUCCAAGGAUGUGUAAGAGCCGGUUUACAAAGUCCAGUCUUAGGGGUUAUCCUUUGGAAGACAUAUAUGCUGCUGUUGGAGAAACAAAGGUUAUCAACAGUGUCUUAGUUCCAACUAUUGGUGAGCAAAUUAUGCUGGCUCGUAUCAUUGAUGAGGAGCGAGAGUAUGACCGUCAGGGCAGCCCAAGUGAUACUUGGAACUACUGGUUAAAUGUGAAGCAGAAGAAUAUUUGGUGGGAAGAGCUAUAUGAGUUGGAUCAAGCUGCACGAGGAGUGUUGCCAAAAAAGAAAGACAAAGAGAAGGUGACGUUUGCAGAAGGAUCAUCCUCUAAUUCUGGAUUAGAUUCGAGGUUGCAAGGUCUGGAAGAGAGGAUUUUGGAGUUCAUGGGAGAAAGAUUUGCUGGACUUCACGUCACGGUGGAGACAAUGUUAGAGGCUCAAAGCUCAAGGAUGAGUGUUCUUGAAAAGAACCAGCGGCUUUUGAGAAGAAGGGCUAAGAAAAUAGAAGACAGGCUAACUUCUAUUGAGAGUAAAGUGGAGCCGAGUCAUGGUGAAGACAUGGAUUUUCGACAGUGGGACAAUGAUACAUAUGAAGAGAAGGACAAAGCUUGUUCUGAGAAGGAGAAAGCUAAUGCUGAGCACGAGGCUGGAAAAGAAAAGGAUAACAUCGAGAAUACUGAGGAAGAGGGUGAGAAAGAGGCUGAUGACAAUGCUCAGCAAGAGGGUGAGAAAGAGAAGGAAAAUAGUGAGGCUGAUGAGGAAGAAGACAGUGAGAGUGAAAGUGAAGAGUUGAAGCAAAUGAAGGAGAGAAGUAGAAGACAAGCUGCUAAAUUGUGGAAGGAAAUUGCGAAUGAGGAAAAGAUUGGAGGGAAACAUGAUGAAGAAGAAAGUGAAGAGAAAGAAGCUGAAACCAGUGAGGAAAAGGAUGAGAACAAUGAUGAGAAAGAUGAAGAAAAAGUGGUGGAAUCUGAGGCUGAAGGAGAAGAUGAUCAAGUAGAGGUUGGAGGGAAAGAGGAUCAAGAAGAAGAAGUUGAAGGAAAGGAGUCUGAAACCAGGGAGAAAGAAAAGGAGAAAAAUGAGACUGAGGAGGUGGAAUCUGAAGCACGGGAGACAGAGAUAGAAAAAGGAACUCCGACACCACCACGUGGGAAUCAGACAGAGAGAACUCCCAAAGAUGAUGACAAUGAGCCUCGGGUUGAGCCUCGGGUUGAGACGAACAGAACCGGUGAAACUCCAACACCACCACAUGGGAGUCAGUCAGAGGGAACUCCCAAAGUUGAUGACACUGAGCCUCGGGUUGAGACAAACAGAACCGGCAUAUCUAUCAGUUUCAUCAUCCUCUUCUGAAAGUUGCACUUCUUCAUUGAUGAACUCCACAUGUAGAACACUUCUACACUUCUCAUGAUUUACUUGCAGUAGAUAACCAAAAACGUCUUCAUCAUUCCAGAUGUAUGAUGGCUUGUACGAAUACAAUACCAUUGGAAAGUAACUAAUCUUCACUUGCACCUUAGAUUCAUCUACCCUUAUCUUUCUGCAAAUACGCUCAACCAAAGCAUAGUAAGUGAUAUCUUCCAUUGAUUUCCUCAACACAAUCGUGUGGAUUUCAUCUUCUCCUUCACCACCUCCUGAGAUCCAUUUUAUUUCAGCCCCAUCUUUCAUAUAAUAUCCCCCAUAAUCAAAACAAAUGAUUGUGCAAUUCGGAUUUUGCAUUUUCCUGAAAUAAAAUAGAAUAUCAUUAGAAUUCUCAUUAUUAAGAUGUUUAGAAUUAAUUAUCACACCGUACAAUCUUCUCUUACUAAUACUAAUUUAAUUCAGUACUAUACAUAGUAAUACUAGAAAUUACAGUAAGAAAUAUCAAUAUAGUAAUCCUAGUAUUUCCAGUAAACCUUUUUUCUUUAGUAAAACUAGUUAUACCAGUAAUACCCAGAACUUAUCCUUGAACUAACUAAUUCGCUUUUAGGACCCUAUUGUUAGUAUUUUACAUCAACCAUGAUGUAUAAUUCAUCUUAAAUGAAAUUACACACAGAAAAUCAUCGAAACACACAUAAAAAUACCCAAAAUCUAUAAACACAGUUUUCAAAAUCUUUUUAAAUCUCUCAUAAUUUUCACUGGAUCUUCUUUUUUUUUACACUAGCCGAGAUAUACACUUUUUUUAAUAACAUUUCAGCAAAAAAAUUCAUCCAAAACGGACGUUAAAAAUACCCGAUAGCCCUAAACACAGUUUUUGAAAUCGUUUUUAAUCUCUCAAAUUUUCAUCAAAUCUUACUUUUUUAACGUUACCUAUCAUAUACACGAUUUUUAAAUGUAAUAUCACAAAAAAAAAUCAUCGAAAACGAACCUGAAUUGCCUAUUUUUUGAGCUUCAAAAAACGCUAAUGGAGGAUGAGAGGAAGAAGCUUGUACGAUGAAGAAGGAGACAUGUGGGUCAGGAGAAAUCUGAUUGGUUAAGGUUGUUUUGUGGGCCAUAUAGGUUGUUGAAUUAUGGUUGGUUUAUUUAAUUGGAGAAUAAAUGAAAGGCUAGUUUGGGGAGUGCAAGGAUAAAAGGGUAGGAAGAAUAGAGAAGGGGCAGUAAGAAUUCAUUUAAGGGGGUAUGGGGCAUAUGGAGUUAAUCUCCUAAAUGAAGAAAACUGUUCACUCAAAAACCCUAAUUUAAACACAUAAAGUAAUGAAUUAAGUCAUAUUUGUCUACUAGGUAUAUACCUAUGCUUUGAGUUUGGAAAUUAUAAAAUGAAUUAAUGGGCUUUAUUGGGUCUAAAGGGGCUUUACAUUUUUAACAGGAGGAGGAGGGAGGACCGUCCGAUUGAAAAUACUUAAGAGGACGAAGACAAAUCGUGACCGUCCGAUUGAACAUAUAUCCGUUACGGUUUAAAGAUCCAACAAUACACAUACCAAAGGGAUUUUUAAGGUUUUCUCCCCAAAUGUCUUGGACGACGACGACUCAUACAACAGGUUUCUUUCCCGACUCCACAUGAAACCAACCACCGUCGUCGAGGCACGUCUUUGUCUACAACAAAUCUUUGCGGGCUACUUGAUGUAAAGCGAACAAAGUAGAUCAACAAUGGGUUCCAUUACAUCCACAACUCCGAACAGAGUCACUGAAGCUCUACUAUCGCCUGAUAUUAGAUUCUUAUUUGGGGACAUUGUCCCGUCGGUUGGUAGUGCAUGCGAUGUUUGGGGAUGAAACUUUAAGUACCCACGGCUUAUUAAGAAAAUGACCAGCGGCUUAAAAAAAAUAAGGCAAAGACUCUUGUGACCAAGUCUUUAAGCAAAAGGUUACAGAUAUGUUCAUGUUGGAUGGAUAAAACGAACAACAAUGAACAACAACAUGUCUUUAGACAAAAGGCCAUGAGAUUGUUGGAAUGGAAAAAAGCGAUAAAAAAAGGGCUUAAAAAGAGGUCUUUGAUGAGACAAUGAUUGUGAUACCCACGGCUUAGAAAAAUUCAUAAGACAAUGUCUGAAUUGGUCUUAUUUGUCCCGUCGGUUGGUAGUGCAUGCGUUUGGGGAUGGAUAGUACCCACGGCUUAUUACGAAAGCGACCAACAACUUGAAAAUAAAGACUGUAAAUUUGUUGGAUGGACUAAACGACCAACGGUUUACAAUAAAGUCUCUGUAAACAAAGAUUAUGACUGUGUUGGAUGGAUAGUACGAUCAACAAUAGCCGUGUUCGUUUGUUAACCGCAAGACGCUCCCGCUGCGGCAAGAAAAAGCACGGUGAUGAUGAUCAAAAUAAUAGAAACUUAAGUUAAAGUAACCGCCAACUAUUUUCGGAGACACAAAAAACGAGACGCCGGUGCCGCUAAAAUUUUCAGCGUCCCUUCUACUGCUCCUGCGUCAUCGGUGUUGCGUGUUGUUAAUCGCCGCUGCGGUCAUGGGUGUUGUGUGUUGACGUGAUUCCCGUUUAAUUUUUGGUUGCUGCCGCUGCGUCUUGCGGCUAAGAAACGAACACGGCUAAUGAACAAAAAUGUCUUUAGACAAAGGUUACAGAUAUAUGUUGGAUGGAUAAAACGAUCAACAAUAAACAAAAUGUCUUUAGACAAGAAGAAAAAAGUGGUCUUUGAGGCAA